AUCUACGGCCAUACCACCCUGAACGCGCCCGAUCUCAUCUGAUCUUGGAAGCUAAGCAGGGUAGGGCCUGGUUAGUACUUGGAUGGGAGAACAAUGGAAUUUUUAUAGCAGCUGAAUGAUA
rnacentral:rRNA from 1 species